rnacentral:rRNA from 1 species
UACGGAGGAUCCAAGCGUUAUCCGGAUUUAUUGGGUUUAAAGGGUGCGUAGGCGGCCAAUUAAGUCAGGGGUGAAAGACGGUAGCUUAACUAUCGCAGUGCCUUUGAUACUGAUUGGCUUGAAUACACUAGAGGUAGGCGGGAAUGUGACAAGUAGCGGUGAAAUGCAUAGAUAUGUCACAGAACACCAAUUGCGAAGGCAGCUUACUAUGGUGUGAUUGACGCUGAGGCACGAAAGCGUGGGGAUCAAACAGG